rnacentral:rRNA from 1 species
UACGGAGGGUGCAAGCGUUAUCCGGAUUUAUUGGGUUUAAAGGGUGCGCAGGCGGUAUAAUAAGUCAGUGGUGAAAACUUGCAGCUUAACUGUAAGACUGCCAUUGAAACUGUUGUACUUGAGUUAUCUUGAGGUAGGCGGAAUGUGUAGUGUAGCGGUGAAAUGCUUAGAUAUUACACAGAACACCGAUUGCGAAGGCAGCUUACUAAGGAUAUACUGACGCUCAGGCACGAAAGCGUGGGGAUCGAACAGG